GAUGCACUUGUGAGUUUGAGCAGCCACUAAGGGCCAGCUGGGAGGGAUUGUGGAAUACAUUGAUUGGAAAGAAUUGGAGGAGGAGAGUGAAGAUUUUUGGUGCUCAGAAAGAGAGAUGUCAUUCCAGCAGAAAGGAGCAGCAUAGAAAAAGUCAUGAAAGAGAAAGUAGGAUGACAAGACAAAGGGAGCAACAAGGUGGAAAACAAAAGGGUAGGAUAGAACCCCAUGAGAUGAGAUGAGACAAGACUGGAACCUUGUAGAACCUUACAAGUGAGGAGAACGAGUUAAGAUGUCAUUUUAACAAAAUUACUUUUCUGACAAUUACUUCAGAGGAGGCACGGGACAAUUCUUGUUCCAUCCAAUCCAGUUCAUGCUCUCCAACCAAAAUGGAAACCCUUUUUUUUUAAUUGACAUUAAAAAUGAUCUGAGAAACUAUUUGCCAGUAGAGUGAAGAUAAACUGCCUGCAAACGUUAGUCCAGCUCUUCUGCUUCUCUCUGAAGGUUCUACGGCACAAUGGCAUCAUGAAGCAUCCUAUAAUUCACAAAAAGCUCAGGCCAAAACCAGGAAGUCCCAGGAAUCCUGUUAUUGCAAGAUUGCCAUCCCAAUUCUGCAGAACCAAGAGAUCUUCUUUUAAUUUGGAAAAGAUUGAGGCACACCCAUCGGGGAAGAGUUGUGCCAAUUUAUGACUGCGAAAGAAAGCGCUGGUAGCAGAAGAUUUUUUUGUUUGUUUUUAAAUAAUUCUACAGACAUGUUCGUUAGUUUUGUUUUGCCUGCCACAGAUACUACAUGUCACCAAUGAAGCCCAAUUGGUGACCUAAUAUAAUGCAUCCUAGAACGCCAGCACCCCUAUGCAUGUGCCUGCUGUGCCUAAUUGGAAAUACAACCCUGUAUAUUUCAAGAUUCAUGAAGGAGCAGACUCACUCUUCUGCCCAAGAUCUCUGAAUAACGAUGCAGCAGCACUGAGCACAGGGCCAGACCAGAUGAUUUGGCAGCCUACGUUUGUGCAGGGAUAUAACAACUUGCACAUUACCACCUCUAUCAUAAAAUACAAUAUGCUAUACUAUAUGCAAACAGAAAAAUUUCACACCCAACUAAGGUACGAAAGGCU